GCGGUGGACUGUACAGAAGUGAGAAUGCUGGCAUAAGUAGCGAGAAAUAAGUGAGAAUCUUAUUGGCCGAAAACCUAAGGUUUCCUGAGGAAGGUUCGUCCGCUCAGGGUUAGUCGGGACCUAAGCCGAGGCCGAAAGGCGUAGGUGAUGGACAAUCGGUUGAUAUUCCGAUACCGCCUAUUUACGUUUGAGAAAUGGGGUGACGCAGUAGGAUAAGAUGUGCGCACUAUUGGAUGUGCGUCUAAGCACUUAGGCAUGCUUGAUAGGCAAA
rnacentral:rRNA from 1 species